CAGUCGAGCGAGAAGCUCUUGAUUGAUACGCAAGUUGAUUUCUUGAGUGGACAGCGGCGCAUGGGAGAGUAACGCGUGGAGACCUACCCCAGGGUUCGGAAUAGCGUCGGGAAACUGACGGUAAUACCGAAUAUUAUCCCCGGAUGAAAGAUUUAUCGCCCCGGGAGGGCUCCGCGUCCUAUUAGCUUGUUGGUGGGGUAAUGGCCUACCAAGGCAAUGAUGGGUAGCGGGUGUGAGAGCAUGACCCGUCUCACUGGGACUGAAACACUGCCCAGACACCUACGGGUGGCAGCAGUGGGGAAUCUUGCACAAUGGGGGAAACCCUGAUGCAGCGAUGCCGCGUGAGUGAAGAAGGCCCUUGGGUUGUAAAGCUCUUUCGUCGGGGAAGAUAAUGACUGUACCCGAAUAAGAAGGUCCGGCUAACUUCGUGCCAGCAGCCGCGGUAAUACGAAGGGACCUAGCGUAGUUCGGAAUUACUGGGCUUAAAGAGCACGUAGGUGGUUAAGAAAGUUGGUGGUGAAAUCCCAAGGCUUAACCUUGGAACUGCCACCAAAACUUUUUAACUAGAGUAUGAUUGAGGUAAGCGGAAUUUCUAGUGUAGAGGUGAAAUUCGUAGAUAUUAGAAAGAACACCAAUUGCGAAGGCAGCUUUCUGGAUCAUUACUGACACUGAGGUGCGAAAGCAUGGGUAGCGAAGAGGAUUA
rnacentral:rRNA from 1 species